AUUUUAAAAGAAGGUGUGGAGUAAUAUGAAAAGUUGUUUUGUUUAAAAUGUUUUUAAAAACUAAUCAAAGUUUUGGCAAAAAAUUUGUGGUAACAAUAUAAUUCCAGAGUUAUUUCUUAAGUUGCAGAAAUUAAGUGUUCAACCUGUGGCAAACUUAUAUUUUUCCCUUAUAUUAUUUUGCGUUAGAAGGAGAAAGUUGAAAAGGCAAAUCAAACACCAUUAAAACUAAACUAAA
ensembl:misc_RNA